AGAAGAUUUAUCAAGAUAAACGCAAGUGUUAUUUUGGUUGCUAAGUGCUAAAUGUUAAGAAACAUGGGGAAGAUGUAUCAAAGUGUUCUGUUCUAAAAGGUGGUCUAAAGCACUAAAAGUAGGACAAUCACCAUCUAAACCACUGGAACCAGCUAUCGCAUUUCAUACCUCCUUCAAUUUUACAUGUUUGCACCAUUUUUGGAAUAGAAUAUUCUAAAUAUUUUG